CACGUAGGGCGCAAGCGUUGUCCGGAAUUAUUGGGCGUAAAGAGCUCGUAGGCGGUCUGUCGCGUCGAAUGUGAAAACCCGGGGCUCAACUCCGGGCUUGCAUUCGAUACGGGCAGGCUAGAGUUCGGUAGGGGAGUCUGGAAUUCCUGGUGUAGCGGUGAAAUGCGCAGAUAUCAGGAGGAACACCGGUGGCGAAGGCGGGUCUCUGGGCAGUAACUGACGCUGAGGAGCGAAAGCGUGGGGAGCGAACAGG
rnacentral:rRNA from 1 species